rnacentral:lncRNA from 1 species
GCCUAUAUUUAUUAGAAUUGUCAUGCCUUAGAAAAUUGUAGGAGGAAUUCAGGCUAACUGAAUGUAUUCUGUAGUUUUGGAGAAGACUGAAUUCUCCAUGAAUCACAGAAUCACAGAAUUUUCUAGGUUGGAAGAGACUCAAGAUCAUCGAGUCCAACCUCUAACCUAACACUAACAGUCCCCACUAAACCAUAUCCCUAAGCUCUACAUCUAAACGUCUUUUAAAGACUUCUAGGGAUGGUGACUCCACCACCUCCCUGGGCAGCCUGUUCCUGUACCUAACAACCCUUUCAGUAAAGAAGUUCUUCCUAACAUCUAACCUAAAACUCCCCUGGCGCAACUUUAGCCCAUUCCCCCUCGUCCUGUCACCAGGCACGUGGGAGAACAGGCCAACCCCCACCUCCCUACAGCCUCCUUUAAGGUAUCUGUAGAGAGCGAUAAGGUCGCCCCUGAGCCUCCUCUUCUCCAGGCUGAACAAGCCCAGCUCCUUCAGCCGCUCCUCGUAGGACUUGUUCUCCAGACCCCUCACCAGCUUCGUCGCCCUUCUCUGGACCCGCUCAAGCACCUCGAUGUCCUUCUUGUAGCGAGGGGCCCAAAACUGAACGCAGUAGUCGAGGUGCGGCCUCACCAGAGCCGAGUACAGGGGGAUGAUCACUUCCCUAGCCCUGCUGGUCACACUGUUAGCCCUGCUGGUCACACUGUUAUGAGAAACAUCAUGUGUUGUGUUGCUUUUUGUACCUUUGUCAGUGGCUUGUUUCUGUACAUUAUGAGAAGAGAAAGUUUGGGCCCAAACCCCACAUUUUCUGUGUGUGUUCUUUUACUGAAAUGGCUCUUUAGUACACUAGUAGCUAUGUUGUUUGGCUGGAACAAAGACAGUUCUGAGAAUUAUUUUUGUAUCAAGUUUACUCCAGCCUAAGCCUGUAUUCAUAGGUAUUUAGCAUAAAUCUCUCUGUAAAUAUUCAAAACAGGAUUUAAAAAAAAAAAAAAAAAAAGUAUGCUUGAUGCCCCUUAUGGAAAUUAUAUGAUGGAAAUUAAAUAUAUUAAUAAUAUUUAAUAUAUUAAA